UUCAUGCUGCAUUUCAGCCUUCUUCCUGUCAGAACCAAAGUCUUCUGCUUCUCCACAAGAACAGCCACUUCUGUCCCUUUGACAGCUCCUCACAGCCCCAGGCAGCUCAGGUCCUUCCACUGGACUCCUCCCGUUGCCCUGGCACAGCAGCCCAGAGGAUGCCAGUCCCUGCCCUCCCUCCUUCAUCUUGGUGAAGAAGAGAUGAGAAGUCUUGGUGAGGGAGGGGGUGGGGACAGGAAGGAUGAGCUCAUAGGAGUCUUGGGUGCCAAAAGAAUUCCCAGGAAAUGAAUGUCCCAUGGGAGCUCAUGGGGUGGUCCUGGAGUUGAGGCUCUCCUGACUAACGGACAUGUCCCUGAAGACCACAUUGAAUGUCAACAAUAGAGAAAUACAGUGAAUUCUGCAUUUUUACCAAGGGAAGAAAGAUCAUUUUUGCAUAACAAGUGAAAAUAUGAGGAACAGAGAUGUAAAAAGAUAUUCAAGAGGCUGUUGGAAGUGGCAUGAGCCGUUCAGAUUGCCUACUGAUUCCAAACAUUUGAGCAGAAUGAUGCCUGAUCACGUGACUAUCAGCACAACAAACUUGGCAACUGCUAAAAAAGAGAAAAUGAGAAGGAACAUAAAAAUACAUGAGUAAGCAAUGGCAUAGUUUGGAUUAUUUUUUUGCUCCAAGUGGAAGAAGAGAUGAUGUAGCAGGUAAAAGCAAAACAAGACAAAACAACAACAACAACAACAAACAAACAAACAAAAAACACAUUGGUUUUCCUUAUAGGAUACCUGCCAGUCCACUCCAUUGCUCCACAUGGGAGUGAACCAGUGACGUUAAUUAGAAAACUAUGUAUUAAAAGGCUGUUACUUC